AGGAGGUGAGUGGCUGCGAGGCUUCCCAAGGUCACUUUGGGCAGCAGAAGCAGCACGAGGUAGGGACAGCUCACAGCCUCCCCACCCUCCCCUGGCAGUCACCAGCUGGGGAUGUUCAUUUUUACAAGAUGAUUUUCUGGGUGAAGAAGAAAAUUUACCUUGGCAAGUAGCUCCGGAAAGAUAGCACUACCAUUAUAAAAGAAAGGAUGGAGGAGGCAAGUCAGAAUUUGCCAAUACAUCCUGCAUCUGGUCUGUGUCUGUGUGCCUCGGUUGUCCCUUAAUGUCCUGUGCUGGGACAGGGAGCUGCGGGCAGUGAUCUCUCCCUCCGCCUGACUGCUCGUCCUGCAGCAGGAGCUGGCAGCCUGGCCGAGAGCAUCCCUGUGUCAGCGUGGCCUGACCUGCCAGGCAGAUGGAGGUGUCAGCCGGAUCCAUGCUGCUCCAAAUCAUUUAUUCUUUUUGCUGCUCUUCUUCACAAAUUCCUUUUCAGCCACAGUUUCCAAAGUAAAGCAAACAGACCUUGCACUGGGAUGUCUUCCAAUGCAAAGAUGAGACAUGUUGCUUUUCUUUAACCGGUUUGUUUAAGAUAUAGAAGCCAGUAUCACAGUGGGCCAAGUUCCCUUCCCCUAAUAAAUUAUGGGCUGAUUUGUAAGACUGUGAAGCACUGCUGCAAAACCCCAUUAGCCCAGGGCACACUUCUGUCUUCCAGCACUGCUGCACCUUGAAAUGGUGGCAGCUCCACAAAUGUGCAGAUCAUCCUUGAGGAUCCCUUGUUGCACCCAGGCGGGCACAGUGGCAGCGCCCACUUCACAGUGCUUGAGCAUCUUCAAUGAAAGAGCCUCUAGCUAAAAGAGAAGCUGGAGGUGCUGCCAAGUUUUCAGAAUGCUUCUGUGCUGUAUAUCUCAGAGAGGUUUGCUCCCAGCCACACUGCAGAAUCCUGGAGUAUCUCACUGUGGUGCCAAAGAGUGAUUCUUCCUGGAAGGAAGGGCUAGAUGAAGUCAUACUCACCCCUGGCACUGCUCUGCUAAAGGAAGGUGCAAAUAACACAAAUCUGUGCCAUACGGCAUCUCAUGGUAUGGACCUGGGCAGCAAGAACACAGCCUUAGAACUGUGAGAUGCAGUACAGGGAAGAGACAUGUUGGUCUUGCCUGUUCUCAGAUGAAAUAAGCUUUAAAUAUUGCUCAGCUGACAACAAUGACAUGUCAAAAAGGUCCUGUCCUUCCCUUAUUUUUGAAUCUUUUUCCCUUCCUCUCACAGGUGAAGAACUCCCAACUGCCAGCCUCCACACCAUCUGCUCGUCUCUGGAUGUGCAACACUUCAGGGAAAGCUAAGUUUAACAUCAUUUUCAGCAGGUGACAGAAACUUUCUGCCUUUUGCACAAAUAUGAAAUGAUUCUGGCCAA